rnacentral:rRNA from 1 species
AUUGAACGCUGGCGGCAUGCCUUACACAUGCAAGUCGAACGGUAACAGGUCUUCGGAUGCUGACGAGUGGCGAACGGGUGAGUAAUACAUCGGAACGUGCCUAGUAGCGGGGGAUAACUACUCGAAAGAGUGGCUAAUACCGCAUGAGAUCUACGGAUGAAAGCAGGGGAUCGCAAGACCUUGUGCUACUAGAGCGGCCGAUGGCAGAUUAGGUAGUUGGUGGGAUAAAAGCUUACCAAGCCGACGAUCUGUAGCUGGUCUGAGAGGACGAUCAGCAACACUGGGACUGAGACACGGCCCAGACUCCUACGGGAGGCAGCAGUGGGGAAUUUUGGACAAUGGGCGAAAGCCCGAUCCAGCAAUGCCGCGUGCAGGAUGAAGGCCUUCGGGUUGUAAACUGCUUUUGUACGGAACGAAAAGCCCCGGGUUAAUACCCUGGGGUCAUGACGGUACCGUAAGAAUAAGCACCGGCUAACUACGUGCCAGCCGCCGCCGUAA